AACCUGCCGUAUGCAGGGGGACAACAGUCAGAAAUGACUGCUAAUACCGCAUAAGCACACAAUGCUGCAUGGCAUGGUGUGAAAAGGUUUAUCGGCAUACGAUGGCCCCGCGUCUGAUUAGCCAGUUGGCAGGGUAAUGGCCUACCAAAGCAACGAUCAGUAGCCGGCUUGAGAGAGUGACCGGCCACAUUGGGACUGAGACACGGCCCAGACUCCUACGGGAGGCAGCAG
rnacentral:rRNA from 1 species